GUGUCAGCAGCCGCGGUAAUACGAAGGGGGCUAGCGUUGCUCGGAAUCACUGGGCGUAAAGGGUGCGUAGGCGGGUUUUUAAGUCAGAGGUGAAAUCCUGGAGCUCAACUCCAGAACUGCCUUUGAUACUGAGAAUCUUGAGUACGGGAGAGGUGAGUGGAACUGCGAGUGUAGAGGUGAAAUUCGUAGAUAUUCGCAAGAACACCAGUGGCGAAGGCGGCUCACUGGCCCGUAACUGACGCUGAGGCACGAAAGCGUGGGGAGCAAACAGGAUUAGAAACCCGAGUAGUCC
rnacentral:rRNA from 1 species